UUCACUAUCUUCACCGUUUUUGGGUUUUCUUCUAUUUCUAUAUCUCUCCCUCUCGAUCCGAUCUAGACCCUCGUUCACCAAAACGACCGGAGAAACUGCAUCUACCGUGUUCUCGACAACCAUAGAAGCCUUUCGUUCCCGUGCAUCAUCUCUGUUAGCCUAUUGUGAACUGACAUGCAGAAUGGAUGGACAAUGUCUGAUCCCUAGCAUCGAAUAAAAGAUUGGGCAGGCAUUAUAUUACACUUUGCCAAGGAGAAUGGCUUAGAGUACAACGUGAUGACCGUUGAGGAGAUUCGUACAGGAAUUGAAUCACGGGGAACAGUUUUAUGUUUUCCAACCACCCAUACAAUAAACAAGCAAGUUGAUGAGUAAAGUUCUUUAUGUUAAGCUCAUGUAUUGCAUACAAGAAACAAGCAAGUUGAUGAGAUGAGUUGCCUUACAGGACCUGCAGUAGUGAUUCAGUGAAAUUGGUACAAACAAUUUAAGAGUUUUGUUAAGCGUUCAUGAGUAUCCAACUACAGAGACAAGAGAACACACUCCCUGAAAUGUGUUGUUAACAAAGCCACUUACAUAGCUGCUGAAAUUGUCGCAACAAGUUCGUCCAGCCCUACUCCCGCAGUUAAGUUAUCCCACCCAACAACACCAGCCCAGAAACCUCAGAAAAGAGGCACUUGCAGAUUCAGAGCCGCAACCGAAAAGGCCAGCUAAAAGCGGAAUGGCGGACUAAAACUUAAAUCGGUGAAGACGUCCCUUUUGUCCACCUAAAAGAAGAAGCAACGGUGGGAUAGCAGUCCAGAACCAGAAUCGCUAAAGUCAUUUCUUUUGAACUAAUCAUACUUGAAACUCACAUCUACGACUGCCUAAUGACUAGAAGUUGUAUGCCUAGACGAUGCUUGCAGUUGUAUCUGAAUGAAUCUAACUUGUAAUGUCGCGCAACGUGCAACAUCAAAUACCCCUAGUUAGUUUAAUUAAGAAUCUUAAUUUGUUC
rnacentral:lncRNA from 1 species